AAAUUGAAGAGUUUGAUCAUGGCUCAGAUUGAACGCUGGCGGCAGGCCUAACACAUGCAAGUCGAACGGUAACAGAAAGCAGCUUGCUGCUUUGCUGACGAGUGGCGGACGGGUGAGUAAUGUCUGGGAAACUGCCUGAUGGAGGGGGAUAACUACUGGAAACGGUAGCUAAUACCGCAUAACGUCGCAAGACCAAAGAGGGGGACCUUCGGGCCUCUUGCCAUCGGAUGUGCCCAGAUGGGAUUAGCUAGUAGGUGGGGUAACGGCUCACCUAGGCGACGAUCCCUAGCUGGUCUGAGAGGAUGACCAGCCACACUGGAACUGAGACACGGUCCAGACUCCUACGGGAGGCAGCAGUGGGGAAUAUUGCACAAUGGGCG
rnacentral:rRNA from 1 species